rnacentral:rRNA from 1 species
CCUUUGAAGUUAGCGGCGGACGGGUGAGUAACACGUGGGUAACCUACCUAUAAGACUGGGAUAACUUCGGGAAACCGGAGCUAAUACCGGAUAAUAUUUAGAACCGCAUGGUUCUAAAGUGAAAGAUGGUUUUGCUAUCACUUAUAGAUGGACCCGCGCCGUAUUAGCUAGUUGGUAAGGUAACGGCUUACCAAGGCGACGAUACGUAGCCGACCUGAGAGGGUGAUCGGCCACACUGGAACUGAGACACGGUCCAGACUCCUACGGAAGGCAGCAG